rnacentral:rRNA from 1 species
ACAGAGGUCUCGAGCGUUAAUCGGAUUCAUUGGGCUUUAAGCGUACGUAGGCGGAUGUGCAGGCAUCGUGUGAAAUCCCCUGGCUCAACCAGGGAACUGCUCGGUGAACCGCACGUCUUGAGGCAAGUAGAGGCUGUCGGAACGAUAGGUGGAGCGGUGAAAUGCGUAGAUAUCUAUCGGAACGCCGAAGGUGAAAACAGGCAGCUGGGCUUGAUCUGACGCUGAGGUACGAAAGCGUGGGGAGCGAACGGGA